CUGAGUUUACGCUCUACAACCCUUUGUGAACAUACCUAUAACUGUUGCUUCGGCGGGUAGGGUCUCCGCGACCCUCCCGGCCUCCCGCCUCCGGGCGGGUCGGCGCCCGCCGGAGGAUAACCAAACUCUGAUUUAACGACGUUUCUUCUGAGUGGUACAAGCAAAUAAUCAAAACUUUUAACAACGGAUCUCUUGGUUCUGGCAUCGAUGAAGAACGCAGCGAAAUGCGAUAAGUAAUGUGAAUUGCAGAAUUCAGUGAAUCAUCGAAUCUUUGAACGCACAUUGCGCCCGCCAGCAUUCUGGCGGGCAUGCCUGUUCGAGCGUCAUUUCAACCCUCAAGCUCUGCUUGGUGUUGGGGCCCUACAGCCGAUGUAGGCCCUCAAAGGUAGUGGCGGACCCUCCCGGAGCCUCCUUUGCGUAGUAACUUUACGUCUCGCACUGGGAUCCGGAGGGACUCUUGCCGUAAAACCCCCCAAUUUUCCAAAGGUUGACCUCGGAUCAGGUAGGAAUACCCGCUGAACUUAAGCAUAUCA
rnacentral:rRNA from 1 species